GGCAACGGCCAUACUACAGUGAAUGUACCGGUUCUCGUCUGAUCACCGAAGUUAAACACUGUCGGGCGCGGUUAGUACUUAGAUGGGUGACCGCUUGGGAACACCGCGUGCCGUUGCCU
rnacentral:rRNA from 1 species